rnacentral:lncRNA from 1 species
CCACAAAAGAUAUAUAACACACCUGAAUCUGCAAUUCCGCAACUCAAGUAAUGGGGUCCGUCAGGGCAGAAGCAUCUGAAACUGUAUGUAGUGGCGUUAAAGCCACAUCGGCCGCCAUCUCUUCUCACGUGUACUACAGUCACUGGGUGACAAAUAAUUCAGCUCAAACCCUCUUCUCAAAAUCUCCUCAUACUCUUCCACUACAAUCGUCUCUUCAUCUCCAUGCACUUCCACCGGCGCCACCACAUUUUUUUCGCAAUUUUCCAAUCCCUUCUGCUAAUUUUCAUCCUUAUCCCUAACUGCCAAAACCAAAAUAUCUCUAUUCUCACCCUGGCAGACAACCCUGUAUCGCGAAAGAUCCUUAGGCAACGGUUCUUUAGAAUUGGACAACAAAUAAAGCUUUUUUACAUUAACAAAAUGAAACUCAUCAAUAGGAAGUGUCGUGUUUCCGAUUUGUGGAAGGCAUCUACCUCUUGAAGAAUUAGAAACAACAGCAUUAUAAACACGAAAAGAAUGCGUAGGAUAGGAAAUGCUUUCAACUAUAUAGUCACUUUCGGGUAAACAAAUCGUUGGAUAGCCAUGUUUGCCGUAGUUGAGACGAAAUCCA